UAUGCUAAACUAUUAUAUUUUGGUUUGAAUAAUUUGUAUCCACUAUCACAAAUCAAUCAUUCUGAUUMGCUAUUGAACCACAGUCUAUUCAUAUAAGAAAUAGUGUCAUGUAGUCACGCAACGACUAAACCCGACACAAACUCUUGAACAAUAAGUAGCUAGUUAUCAUUGCAUGUUAUCAAUCAACGUAUAGAUUAACAAUAGUGACAAGCCCAUUACUUGCGGUCUUUCUAAUUUAGUCCCUAUUUUGUAUUCACAAUAGCAUAGGAAUUUAGGUUUUUCCUGUUUUUCAAGAUAUGGAAUUUAGUAUUAGUUUUAGUAGCACGUCCAACCGAACCUAAUUUAGUGUAGUCUCAGGAGCCAAACYBAGAGGAGCAACAAACUCGGAACGGAGUCAACUAGCCUUUAGAAGUCUUCUUUUAACUAGUUAUCCAAUCCCGCAGAGACGAGAUCAGACUUUUUACCGCAAGCGAGUCAACGUGUAUUCAGGCAGUUACGCUAAUAAACGAAUAUAACCU